rnacentral:rRNA from 1 species
AGAGUUUGAUCCUGGCUCAGGAUGAACGCUAGCGGCAGGCUUAAUACAUGCAAGUCGAGGGGCAGCACGUCUUCGGAUGGUGGCGACCGGCGCACGGGUGCGUAACACGUAUGCAACCUACCUUUAACUGGGGAAUAGCCCCGAGAAAUCGGGAUUAAUACCCCAUAAUAUUCAUUUUUCGCAUGAUUUAUGAAUUAAAACUCCGGUGGUUAAAGAUGGGCAUGCGCGACAUUAGUUAGUUGGUGAGGUAACGGCUCACCAAGACAGCGAUGUCUAGGGGUUCUGAGAGGAAUAUCCCCCACACUGGAACUGAGACACGGACCAGACUCCUACGGGAGGCAGCAGUAAGGAAUAUUGGUCAAUGGGCGAAAGCCUGAACCAGCCAUGCCGCGUGCAGGAUGAAGGCCCUAUGGGUUGUAAACUGCUUUUAUAUAGGAAGAAACUCCCGUACGUGUACGGGACUGACGGUACUAUACGAAUAAGGACCGGCUAACUCCGUGCCAGCAGCCGGUAAUACGGAGGGUCCAAGCGUUAUCCGGAUUUAUUGGGUUUAAAGGGUGCGCAGGCGGACCGAUAAGUCAGUGGUGAAAUCCUACAGCUCAACUGUAGAACUGCCAUUGAUACUGUCGAUCUUGAGUACGGUUGAAGUAGGCGGAAUGUAUCAUGUAGCGGUGAAAUGCAUAGAUAUGAUACAGAACUCCGAUAGCGAAGGCAGCUUACUAAGCCGUAACUGACGCUCAGGCACGAAAGCGUGGGGAGCAAACAGGAUUAGAUACCCUGGUAGUCCACGCCGUAAACGAUGAUCACUCGUUGUUGGCAAUACACAGUCAGCGACUGAACGAAAGCAUUAAGUGAUCCACCUGGGAAGUACGAUCGCAAGGUUGAAACUCAAAGGAAUUGACGGGGGCCCGCACAAGCGGAGGAGCAUGUGGUUUAAUUCGAUGAUACGCGAGGAACCUUACCUGGGCUUAAAUGUAUAAUGACCGGCUGGGAAACCAGUCUUCUCUUCGGAGCAUUUUACAAGGUGCUGCAUGGUUGUCGUCAGCUCGUGCCGUGAGGUGUCGGGUUAAGUCCCAUAACGAGCGCAACCCCUAUUCUUAGUUGCCAUCAGAUAAUGCUGGGGACUCUAAGGAAACUGCCUACGCAAGUAGUGAGGAAGGUGGGGAUGACGUCAAAUCAGCACGGCCCUUAUGUCCAGGGCUACACACGUGCUACAAUGGUCGGUACAU